GGAGUCUGGUCCGUGUCUCAGUACCAGUGUGGGGGACCUUCCUCUCAGAACCCCUACUGAUCGAUGGCUCGGUGGGCCGUUACCCCGCCGACUGCCUAAUCAGACGCAUCCCCAUCCCUUAGCGACGAAUCUUUGCUCCUAAACCGAUGCCCGAAAAGGAGAACAUAGGGCAUUAAUCCGACUUUCGCCGGGCUAUUCCCUACUAAGGGGGAGGUUGGAUACGCGUUACUCACCCGUGCGCCGGUCGCCAUCGGCCUUAGCAAGCUAAGACCAUGCUGCCCCUCGACUUGCAUGUGUUAAGCCUGUAGCUAGCGUUCAUC
rnacentral:rRNA from 1 species